AGUGAACGCUGGCGGUAGGCCUAACACAUGCAAGUCGAACGGCAGCACAGUAAGAGCUUGCUCUUACGGGUGGCGAGUGGCGGACGGGUGAGGAAUACAUCGGAAUCUACUUUUUCGUGGGGGAUAACGUAGGGAAACUUACGCUAAUACCUCAUACGACCUACGGGUGAAAGCAGGGGAUCUUCGGACCUUGCGCGAUUGAAUGAGCCGAUGUCGGAUUAGCUAGUUGGCGGGGUAAAGGCCCACCAAGGCGACGAUCCGUAGCUGGUCUGAGAGGAUGAACAGCCACACUGGAACUGAGACACGGUCCAGACUCCUACGGGAGGCAGCAGUGGGGAAUAUUGGACAAUGGGCGCAAGCCUGAUCCAGCCAUACCGCGUGGGUGAAGAAGGCCUUCGGGUUGUAAAGCCCUUUUGUUGGGAAAGAAAAGCAGCAGGUUAAUACCCCGCUGUUCUGACGGUACCCAAAGAAUAAGCACCGGCUAACUUCGUG
rnacentral:rRNA from 1 species